CCUACGGGAGGCUGCAGUGGGGAAUAUUGCACAAUGGGGGGAACCGUGAUGCAGCAACGCCGCGUGGGUGAAGAAGGACUCCGGGAUGGAAAGCCCUGUCAGCAGGGAAGAAAAUGACGGUACCUGACCAAGAAGCCCCGGCUAACGACGUGCCAGCAGCCGCGGUAAUACGUCGGGGGCAAGCGUGAUCCGGAUUGACUGGGUGGAAAGGGAGCGUAGACGGCAAGGCAAGUCUGGAGUGAAAGCCCGUGGCCCAACCACGGGACUGCUUUGGAAACUGUGUUGCUGGAGUGCAGGAGGGGUAAGCGGCCUUCCUAGUGUAGCGGUGACAUGCGUAGCUAUUAGGAGG
rnacentral:rRNA from 1 species